CCUACGGGUGGCAGCAGUGGGGAAUAUUGGACAAUGGGGGCAACCCUGAUCCAGCCAUGCCGCGUGUGUGAAGAAGGCCCUCGGGUUGUAAAGCACUUUCAGUGAGGAAGAACACCUGGUGGUUAAUACCCAUCAGGAAAGACAUCACUCACAGAAGAAGCACCGGCUAACUCCGUGCCAGCAGCCGCGGUAAUACGGAGGGUGCGAGCGUUAAUCGGAAUUACUGGGCGUAAAGCGCGCGUAGGUGGCUUGAUAAGCCGGUUGUGAAAGCCCCGGGCUCAACCUGGGAACGGCAUCCGGAACUGUCAAGCUAGAGUGCAGGAGAGGAAGGUAGAAUUCCCGGUGUAGCGGUGAAAUGCGUAGAGAUCGGGAGGAAUACCAGUGGCGAAGGCGGCCUUCUGGACUGACACUGACACUGAGGUGCGAAAGCGUGGGUAGCAAACAGGAUUAGAUACCCUAGUAGUC
rnacentral:rRNA from 1 species